rnacentral:lncRNA from 1 species
AUGCCGGUGACUCAAAUGUUGGCUUACCCUGAGAAGGGCCAGGCGAGUGUCUCAAAGAGAGCAAGCCUUGCAGGUGAAACACUCAGUGCCUGGCGUUGGAGCCCAGAUGUGAUGCUUUCAGCUGCAAAGUCACACACCUUGAAGGGCCGGAGCACAAACAUGGUGGGAGCAUAUCUGGCAAGGGAAGGAGGGGCGGCUCUCUGCUCGCUGCCUUCUUGCACGUCGAAAGCCCUCAGACUAAGCUGCUCGGCUGAAAGCAGUACUGCUUUAUUUCUGCCACUUAAAAGCGAGCAGUUUUCCUGCUGGGGCCACCGGCUGCCUGGCCUAGAUAUGUGCAGUGAUGCCCAGGGCUGUCUGGGGCCUGCUCUGACAGCCCUCAGGCUCAGAGGGCCACGCGGUCAUCGCCUGCUGGAAAACGAAUGGUGACAGCCCUCCCCGGACUCACUGUGAAUGCCAGUGACACUUGUGACAGUUACAAGGCCAGGGGUGCCUCCUGCUGCACCCAGGCCCUCUGCGAGCAGCAGCACGGGUGUCGUGCCUGUGCUGCGCUGGGAUCAGGCCUCACGUCCUCCAUCCCGACACCGUCCUACACACAGUGUCCUACUCACACACUCCAGGCUGGACUGCUACUUUGAACACUCCUAUCUCACAUGAUAUGCUACAGUUACUGACCUUCUUAGCAUGAGUACUUUCUAUUUGCUGGUAGAAUUGUGGAAUUUGAGAGAAAGGGCUUGUAAAUAGCACCCGAGUGCAUGCACACUCCGUCUCAACUCACACUAUGCACCGUGACAAGGUGAGUUAGAGGAACGCACUGGACACAAGUAGCACAGCUGCAAUGAUGAAUCCUGGCAAGUGUACCUGAGCACUGAGAACACGGUGUGAGCACAGCAGAAAACAGGUGAAAACAGGUGACCCAGCCAUGCAGGUAAGGGCCGCAGAGGUGCAGCAGCAUGGACUUUAAAGCAGGACAGCAAACACUGGGGGAGACCACGGGAACACCUGGGUGUUGCUGGCUCGGUUUAGAGGUUGUACCGCCUCUGUACUGUGCUGCCCAUGCAACUAGACUAAAGCCUGCAUGGCCUCCAGUUAUCUUAGCUGGUUUUCUUUCUUGCUGUCUUGACCAUGCUUUUAGAAAACAAAUUUAACCAUGCCCCUUUGUUCUGGUCUCCAUUGACAGUAAGACUUCUGCCGUGAUUCUUCUUCUUCUUCCCCUGCUUUUUCUCUUGAUUAUUAUCUGUCUAAAGAAAUUUUCC